GCCGGGUGUGGUGGCCCACGCCUGUCAUCCCAGCAGCUCGGGAGGCUGAGGCCGGAGGAUCUCAAGUUCAAAGCCAGCCUCAGCAACUUAGCGAGGCCCUCAGCAACUCAGUGAGACCCUGUCUCUA
rnacentral:sRNA from 1 species